AUGCACGCUGGCGGCGUGCCUAAUACAUGCCAGUCGAGCGAACGGACGAGAAGCUUGCUUUUCUGAUGUUAGCGGCGGACGGGUGAGUAACACGUGGAUAACCUACCUAUAAGACUGGGAUAACUUCGGGAAACCGGAGCUAAUACCGGAUAAUAUUUUGAACCGCAUGGUUCAAAAGUGAAAGACGGUCCUGCUGUCACUUAUAGAUGGAUCCGCGCUGCAUUAGCUAGUUGGUAAGGUAACGGCUUACCAAGGCAACGAUGCAUAGCCGACCUGAGAGGGUGAUCGGCCACACUGGAACUGAGACACGGUCCAGACUCCUACGGGAGGCAGCAGUAGGGAAUCUUCCGCAAUGGGCGAAAGCCUGACGGAGCAACGCCGCGUGAGUGAUGAAGGUCUUCGGAUCGUAAAACUCUGUUAUUAGGGAAGAACAUAUGUGUAAGUAACUGUGCACAUCUUGACGGUACCUAAUCAGAAAGCCACGGCUAACUACGUG
rnacentral:rRNA from 1 species